rnacentral:pre_miRNA from 1 species
AGUGUGAUUGCUGGAUCAUAUACUAAGGAUAUAUUUUGUUCUAUAAGAAACCUCCAGACUCUUCCAAAGCAAUUGUACUAUUUUGUAUUUCCACCAGAAAC